rnacentral:rRNA from 1 species
GACGAACGCUGGCGGCGUGCUUAACACAUGCAAGUCGAACGGUGAACGAGGGAGCUUGCUCCCUCCGGAUCAGUGGCGAACGGGUGAGUAACACGUGAGCAAUCUGCCCCGAACUCUGGGAUAAGCGUUGGAAACGACGUCUAAUACCGGAUACGACGCGGGAGGGCAUCCUCUCCGCGUGGAAAGAACUUCGGUUCGGGAUGAGCUCGCGCCCUAUCAGCUUGUUGGUGAGGUAACGGCUCACCAAGGCGACGACGGGUAGCCGGCCUGAGAGGGAGACCGGCCACACUGGGACUGAGACACGGCCCAGACUCCUACGGGAGGCAGCAGUGGGGAAUAUUGCACAAUGGGCGCAAGCCUGAUGCAGCAACGCCGCGUGAGGGAAGACGGCCUUCGGGUUGUAAACCUCUUUUAGCAGGGAAGAAGCGAAAGUGACGGUACCUGCAGAAAAAGCACCGGCUAACUACGUG